AGUCCUUACCCACCUUUGAAUUGACUGACUAAUAUGGAGCUCUACAUAUCGCUCUCUCCUAGAAGUCUCUGGAGCUCCCAUGGUUUGGUGGUUGUUAGUGGUUGGCUCCUCACUUGCUUUUGGCCUUUGUUUAUUGAGGAAACAUCGUGGUUCGCUAUUAUUGACUCUUUGGUUCAUCCCUGUGUGACAUCUCCGUUGUUUGCCUUGGCACACUGGCGAUAGUGGCGGCAGCUUGAAGUGCCUCAUUGUUCUUACUUGUGUUGUGGCUGCCCUAACUAGGGUUUGGGUGUUUGGGCCAGACUUGUCGACUGAGUUGAGAAGCUUUUACUUUAAGCCAUGGUUUCAUUAGGUUCUAGGCCUCUGGUCUCUGUUAACUCUAUAGUCAUGGGUUGAGAGAGGAUGGAUUUAAACUUGAAAAAUUUACCUAUCCAGGGCCUUAAGAGGAUGCAAAGAGAAGGAUGGAUUUAAGCUUGUUUAAUUUCUUUCAGAAGCUACUGUUCUGGUCAGCAUGCUGUUCAUUUCAUCCGUCACUUUCCUUCUUGCACAUCUUGUUACUUCACCAUACUUAGUUGUAUAAAUUAUUCAUUUACUAUUA